rnacentral:rRNA from 1 species
GAUGAACGCUGGCGGCGUGCCUAAUACAUGCAAGUCGAGCGAACGGACGAGAAGCUUGCUUCUCUGAUGUUAGCGGCGGACGGGUGAUUAACACGUGGAUAACCUACCUAUAAGACUGGGAUAACUUCGGGAAACCGGAGCUAAUACCGGAUAAUAUUUUGAACCGCAUGGUUCAAAAGUGAAAGACGGUCUUGCUGUCACUUAUAGAUGGAUCCGCGCUGCAUUAGCUAGUUGGUAAGGUAACGGCUUACCAAGGCAACGAUGCAUAGCCGACCUGAGAGGGUGAUCAGCCACACUGGAACUGAGACACGGUCCAGACUCCUACGGGAGGCAGCAGUAGGGAAUCUUCCGCAAUGGGCGAAAGCCUGACGGAGCAACGCCGCGUGAGUGAUGAAGGUCUUCGGAUCGUAAAACUCUGUUAUUAGGGAAGAACAUAUGUGUAAGUAACUGUGCACAUCUUGACGGUACCUAAUCAGAAAGCAACGGCUAACUACGUG